rnacentral:rRNA from 1 species
UACGUAGGUGGCAAGCGUUGUCCGGAGUUAUUGGGCGUAAGGCGCGCGCAGGCGGUGCGGUAAGUCUCUGGUGAAAGCGCUCGGCUUAACUGGGCGAGGGCCGGGGAGACUGCCACGCUGGAGGGGAGCAGAGGCGAGUGGAAUUCCGGGUGUAGUGGUGAAAUGCGUAGAGAUCCGGAGGAACACCAGUGGCGAAGGCGGCUCGCUGGGCUCUACCUGACGCUGAGGCGCGAAAGCGUGGGGAGCGAACCGG